AUUGAACGCUGGCGGCAGGCCUAACACAUGCAAGUCGAACGAGUGGCGGACGGGUGAGUAAUGUCUGGGAAACUGCCUGAUGGAGGGGGAUAAAUACUGGAAACGGUAGCUAAUACCGCAUACCAUCAGAUGUGCCCAUAUGUGAUUAGCUGGUUGGGGGGGGAACGGCUCACCAAGGCGACGAUCCCUAUCUGGUCUGAGAGGAUGACCAUCAACACUGGAACUGAGACCCGGUCCAGACUCCUCCGUGAGGCAGCAGUGGGGAAUAUUGCACAAUGGGCGCAGUCCUGAGGCAGCCAUGCCGCGGGUAUGAAGAAGGCCUUCGGGUUGUAAAGUACUUUCAGCGGGGAGGCGUUACCCGCAGAAGAAGCACCGGCUAACUCCGUGCCAGCAGCCGCGGUAAUUC
rnacentral:rRNA from 1 species